rnacentral:tRNA from 1 species
GUAGAUAUAGUUUAGACAAAACGUUAGAUUGUGAUUCUAAAAAUAGGAGAUAAAACCCCCUUAUCCACC